AAUAAGUGCAGUUUUACACUAUUCAUGACCAAUAUUUGACCGUUCGUCUUAUUUGAAAAUUUUAAAUGAGUAUUAUUUUUUUUAUUAUUAGAUGAUAAAACAUGAAUAGUACUUUAUGUGUGACUAAUUUUUUUUAUUUUUUUUCAUAAUUUUCAAAUAAGACGGACAGUGAUCAAACGUUUGGACACAGAUAUUCACGGCUGUACUUAUU
rfam:Oryza sativa Japonica Group DNA, chromosome 4, cultivar: Nipponbare, complete sequence.